UACGAAGGUCCCGAGCGUUAUUCGGAAUCACUGGGCGUAAAGGGAGCGUAGGCGGCGUGGAAAGUCAGAUGUGAAAUCCCAGAGCUUAACUCUGGAACUGCAUCCGAUACUACCAUGCUAGAGUAUUGGAGGGGUAACUGGAAUUCUCGGUGUAGCAGUGAAAUGCGUAGAUAUCGAGAGGAACACUCGUGGCGAAAGCGAGUUACUGGACAAUUACUGACGCUGAGGCUCGAAGGCUAGGGGAGCAAAAGGGAUUAGAUACCCCUGUAGUCCUAGCAGUAAACGGUGCACGCUUGGUUUGAGGGGAAUCGACCCCCUUCGAGCCGGAGCUAACGCGUUAAGCGUGCCGCCUGGGAAGUACGGUCGCAAGACUAAA
rnacentral:rRNA from 1 species